rnacentral:tRNA from 1 species
GUUGUAGCUCAGUGGUAGAGCACUUACCUCAAAAGUGUAAGGCACUGGUUCGAUCCUAGUACCACA